rnacentral:lncRNA from 1 species
CAGCUGGCAUGGGGGCAUUGCUGGGGCUCCAGAGACUGAGGCGAGGCUUGUCCUGGGAGCACGGUUCCUGAGUGCAUGAGCUCAGACAGGCACUGCAGAGGGCCAGGGGUCUGCCUGUGGCCCUGGGGCUACACACACUAAUCGAAAUGGGGUAUCUGUCUGUCUGUGGAGCUGAAUGUCUGCCUUACUCAUCCAGGCCCUGAGUCACCUCGUUUCAAAAUGCUGCCCGGUUCCUGGAACAGAGUCGAGCAUCAGUGGGUGGGCGUGAGUCAUUUCUGCCACUGGGACCUGCCUGCAUCUUGAACCUGGUCUGGGGCCACCAUUCUGAAGAUGUCUUUCUCUUUCUCUACAAGGCUCCCACCUCCUCCCUCUGCAUAUGGGGACUCUGGAUGGCAACUCAAGGCCUUUUCCGCCGGCUGCUGCCAGCCCAGCCUUUGGAGAGGAUCUGUCCAGCCUUUCUUCCAGGGGCUCUCGGGCUGCUGUCCUUCCCGCUGGACCGCAGCAGGGCCCCCUCCAGCAAAGCAUGAACCCCACCCCCCAACAGCUCCUCACCUCCCCUGCCCCGCAGGUCAGCUCCUGGAGGCAAGUCCAGGAGAGGACCGGCUAUGGUGUGAGGUCACAUCUCCCCAGAGGCCUUGCCACCCGUCCUUGCUGCCAGCCACAUCCUGGAUCAGAGGAUCCUCCAGGAGAAGUGAAACUGGACUUGCUUCUCCAGCCCCAGCUGGCAGCGCCCCUCAGAGCUGAGCGUUCCCAGCUGUGUGUUCUGCUGGGUGAGCGGUUUAGGUGGUAACUGAAAGAGCCAACAGUUCAGGGGAACUUGUGCAAAGGCAUUGCACCAAAGCAUGACACGGUUAUCAUUUGGGGGCCAUAUCAUGAGUCUUCUGAAUGUUAUUGUGAUGACCUGGCAGUGGAGGCUUUACUCCAAGCUUCUCUAAAUGACCAAGACAACAAGCCAGUCAGAGUGACAUGCAUUCUUUCAUUUACUGGAAAAUAUUGUUGCCUACUUACCAUGCGUCAGGCUCUGUGCAGGGCCCUGGAGGCCGCAGCCCCGAGGCUGGGGACAAACCUUCCCCACCUGCUUGUGGUCAGAUGACAGUGUCAGACACAGGUGGGCAGGUCUGUGGGACUUUGAAGGCUGAUCAUCCCCAUAGAAAACAGGACAAGAGGACAGAGGUCCCUACCUGCCUGCUGAGUCCAGCGAAGUGUCACUCCUGAACAUUGCAGGCCAAGGAGGAAGGGAUUUGGCCAGGAGUUAGCAGUGGGGGUCAGCAAUGGGGUGAGGUCAUCAGAGGUGUGUGCGCUGCAAGCCUGACCCUUCCAGGUCUGUCUGGGGAGGGAGAAGACUAAGGGGAUGAGAAAGAAAGUCAAAUGGCAGGGCCAGUUCAAAUAUCCUUCCUUUAGUCAGCCUCCAUCACCUACUGGAUGGGGAGAGGUGGCAGGGGGCUCAGCAGGCCUCCAAAUGGAGCUGUUUUUUUCUCCACAAGUCGACUUUCCAAUUAACAUAUAAACACUACUAUAUAUAAAAUAGAUAACAAACAAGAACCUAGUAUAUAGCACAGGAAAAGUGAAAGUGUUGUUUGCUCAGUUGUGUCUGACUCUGCCACCCCGUGGACUUAGCUGGCCAGGCUCCUCUGUCCAUGGAAUUCUCCAGGCAAGAAUACUAGAGUGGGUAACCUUUCCCUUCUCCAGGGGAUCUUCCCCACCAGGGAUCGAACCUGGGUCUCCCACAUUGUAGGCAGAUUCUUUACCAUCUGAGCCACCAGGGAAGUCUACUCAAUAUUCUUUAAUAACCUAUAUGGGAACAGAACAGAAAAGGAGAAUGCAUAUAUGUAUACACAUAACUGAGUCACUGUGCUGUACACUUGAAACUAACACAACAUUGUAAAUCAACUAGACUCAAAUAAAAAUUUUUAAAAUAAAGUGAAAACUAAACA